AGCGAACGCUGGCGGCAGGCCUAACACAUGCAAGUCGAACGAACUCUUCGGAGUUAGUGGCGGACGGGUGAGUAACACGUGGGAACGUGCCUUUAGGUUCGGAAUAACUCAGGGAAACUUGUGCUAAUACCGAAUGUGCCCUUCGGGGGAAAGAUUUAUCGCCUUUAGAGCGGCCCGCGUCUGAUUCGCUAGGUGGUGAGGUAACGGCUCACCAAGGCGACGAUCAGUAGCUGGUCUGAGAGGAUGACCAGCCACACUGGGACUGAGACACGGCCCAGACUCCUACGGGAGGCAGCAGUGGGGAAUCUUGCGCAAUGGGCGAAAGCCUGACGCAGCCAUGCCGCGUGAAUGAUGAAGGUCUUAGGAUUGUAAAAUUCUUUCACCGGGGACGAUAAUGACGGUACCCGGAGAAGAAGCCCCGGCUAACUUCGUGCCAGCCGCCGCCGUAACAC
rnacentral:rRNA from 1 species